AUGUAACAUCUGUUGUAAUUUUCAAAUCGUACAGGGCUGUAAGAAGAUUUGCCGGCACGCACAAGUCACAAAGACUGAAAGAUCAAAAUUAUUCAAUUUCACGAUUACACAAACACGACUAAGAAAAUGCAAGACACCUUUGAUGUGGAAACAUACAGAACUCCCUAUGAAAGUAAUACUGAAUGGAGAGAAAGGAAGAAGUUUUUAGAAGCCCAUCAUGACAAAUUUGAGGAGGAUCGUCUGGUUUGCUUGUCACAAUGUUAUUUGAAUGUCCGUAUGACUAGUUGUAGGUAUCCAGUAGAAGUCAUGAAACAACUUAGUGAACUAGCCAAAGAAAUGGAUGAAGAAAUGAGCUGAUGAAUACAGUAUGCAGUGGAUCAGGAGAUCAUUGAUGUUUGUCAACAGAAUCAACACACAUGUUUGUUCAAGCAAAGUUAUGACAUUCUAAAUACAUUUUAGAUAAUCUUACUACAAUAUAUAUAUCAGGUUGUUUUUUAAUUUGUGUACAAAGUUUUGAAACUAGAAAGCCUUGAUUGUACUUUUAGUCUGUAAUAUAUUGAUGUUAAAGGUACAAUUUGUAGAUCAGUUUUAUAUGAAGUAACAACAAUGAUUUUUUUGCAAUAAAAAUACAAUUAUCUGA